rnacentral:rRNA from 1 species
AUUGAACGCUGGCGGCAUGCCUUACACAUGCAAGUCGAACGGCAGCACGGGGCAACCUGGUGGCGAGUGGCGAACGGGUGAGUAAUGCAUCGGAACGUACCUUUCAGUGGGGGAUAACGUAGCGAAAGUUACGCUAAUACCGCAUAUUCUGUGAGCAGGAAAGCAGGGGAUCGCAAGACCUUGCGCUGAUUGAGCGGCCGAUGUCAGAUUAGCUAGUUGGUGAGGUAAAGGCUCACCAAGGCGACGAUCUGUAGCGGGUCUGAGAGGAUGAUCCGCCAAACUGGAACUGAGACACGGUCCAGACUCCUACGGGAGGCAGCAGUGGGGAAUCUUAGACAAUGGGGGAAACCCUGAUCUAGCCAUGCCGCGUGAUCGAUGAAGGCCUUAGGGUUGUAAAGAUCUUUCGGCCGGGAAGAAAUCGCAUCAGCUAAUACCUGGUGUGGAUGACGGUACCGGAAUAAGAAGCACCGGCUAACUACGUGCCAGCAGCCGCCGUAACAC